AAAAAAAAAAAAGAAUGAGGUGGGUAGUUACCUGGUGGUGCAGCCGGUUAAGCAUCUGGCAUUGUCACUGCAGUGGCUCAGGGUGCUGCCAGUAGUGCUGGUUCAGUCUUUGGCCCGGGAACUUCCACAUGAUGUGGGUGAGGCGAAAAAAAAAAAAGUAAAAAAAAGUAAAGGGAAUUGGGGGUAUGAGUUUUCAGGGAUAGAUUGAGAUCAUAAAGAGGGUUUCUUUGUGAAGCUUAUCUGGAAUAUCUUUGAAGUAGGUAUGUUUAUGCUCAAUUUGGUAAACAGUAGGAAGUGACUGAUGCUUUGGGGGCAGAAUUUAGGAAGCUGAAGUGGGCAGUAGUGAGAGAGGUGGAUUGGAGGGGAGAGGGGUGGGUCAAGAGACUCUGGCUGCAAACCAGGUGCCACAGCCCCGAGUAAGGUGGUGGCUUUUGUAGUCUACUCGGGCUGCUACAGCAAAAUACCCUCACCAGGACAGUUUAAACACUAGAAAUGUGUUUCUCACAGUUCAGGAGGCUGGGAGUCCGGGAUCAAGGUGCUCGCCAGUUUGUUCCUGGGGGACGCUCUCCUCCUGGCUUGUAGAUAGCUGUCUUCUGUGUCCUCACAGUGGAGAGAGAAAGUUGGGUUUCUUGCGCCUCUUUUAAGGGCAGCAGCCCUAUUGCACUAGGGUCCCACCACCCUUAGGACCUCAUCCCUCCUUUGUCAUCUUCUCACAGGCCCUGUCAACAAACACAAUCACGUUUGAGGGUGAGGGUUUCAACAUCUGUGCUUUGUGGGGAUGUGAACAUCCAGUCCAUCACGUUGACCACAGGAUGGAAUAAAGCGAUGGUGUCUGAGGAACUGCAGAGCUGGAGUCUACCUGACUUAACACGGAUUGAUGUGCAGGGAAGAGUGUGGUCAACACAAAGCAAGACCUGAGGCAAAGGGAGCCACGGUACCAGGCAGCUUGCCAGAAGAGCGCUUCAGAUCAAGGACUGAGGCUCCUCUCCCUGACCUGCCAUACAGGUAGUGAGGACAACCAGCUCAACCUGGACAUGAGGUCGGGGACAGAAGAUUAGUAACAGUGUCCCAGUGCUGAGCCCCAGGAGGUGAGGCUGGGC
rnacentral:lncRNA from 1 species